CUUUACUGCAGCUUUGCAUUGGACUUUGACGGGACAUGUGUAGGAUAGGUGGGAGGCUGUGAAGCGGUGACGCCAGUCAUCGUGGAGCCAACCUUGAAAUACCACCCUUGUGUCUUUGAGGUUCUAACCUAGACCCCUUAUCGGGGUCGGGGACCGUGCAUGGUAGGCAGUUUGACUGGGGCGGUCUCCUCCCAAAAGGUAACGGAGGAGCACGAAGGUUGGCUAGACACGGUCGGAAAUCGUGUUGAUAGUGCAAGGGCAUAAGCCAGCUUAACUGCGAGACCCACAAGUCGAGCAGAUGCGAAAGCAGGUCCUAGUGAUCCGGUGGUUCUGUCUGGAAGGGCCAUCGCUCAACGGAUAAAAGGUA
rnacentral:rRNA from 1 species